CUCAAGAGUCUCCUCCAGCACCAUAAUUCAAAAGCAUCAAUUCUUCGGCGAUCAGUCUUCUUUAUGGUCUAGCUCUCACUUCCAGCUCUCACUUCCAUACAUCACUAAUUCAGAGGCCUACAGGCUCACAACAGUGGAGAGAGAACAUAGCCAUGUUAAAGGUAAAUGGACCCCUGACCAUUAGGUCCAGUCACGGAUGACUCUGGGGUUUCGGCGCUCAUCUCGUUUUAUUGGCCGAGGGAGCCAGCAUACAGCUUCCGGGUCAUGUGGCCAGCAUGACUAAGCCGCUUCUGGCGAACCAGGGCAGCACACAGAAACGCUGUUUCCCUUCCCGCCAGAGCGGUACCUAUUUAUCUACUUGCACUUUGACGUGCUUUCGAACUGCUAGGUUGGCAGGAGCAGGGACCAAGCAACGGGAGCUCAGGCUCUUUGGUUUAACCCACAGCGCCACAUGUUAGCUGGUACCUAUUGCUACCUGCCUCCUUCCCCCAGUGGCACAAUGGGUCAGUGCACUUGGCUGUUAACUAGAAGGUUGGCGGUUUGAGCCCACCUGGGACAGCUGUGGGCAGAAUUCCUGCAUUUCAAGGGGUUGGACUAGAUGACCCUGGGGAUUCCUUCCAGCUUUAUGAUUCUGUGAAGUUGUCUAAUCCUUAAACUACCCUAAGCUUUCUGCAAUGCAGCAACAUAAUGCAGGCGGGGGGGGGGGAGGUGGUAAUUAUUUUGCAGCUGCUAUCAUUAAGAGUCUCUUCCUUUAAAUUCCUAGGAGUUUAUCUCAGUGAAGACCUUACUUGGAAAAUCAAUACAACCCAGAUGGUUAAGAAAGCCCAACAGAGACUCCAUCUCCUCAGAAUAUUGCGAAAGAACGAUGUCAAUCAACAUUUGAUGAUCUCCUUCUACUGGUCAAGAACAGAAAGUGUCCUUUAAUACUGCAUCACGGUGUGGUACGCUGGUUUGACAUCAUCUGAUAGGAAGUGCCUACAGAGGGUGAUGAAUACAGCACAAGAUAUUAUGGGCUG